AUACAAAUUACCUGGGGAUCUUGUUAAAGUGGAGAUUCUGAUUCAGCAGGUCUGGGUGGGUCCUAAGAUUCUGCAUUCCUAAUAAGCUCCCAAGUGAUGCUGAU
rnacentral:pre_miRNA from 1 species